GUCUUUUUGAGUUAUUUUUAAAGUCUGACCUGCCCACUGAAUUUUUAAAUGGCCGCAGUAUUCUAACUGUGCAAAGGUAGCAUAAUCAUUAGUCUUUUAAUUGAAGGCUGGUAUGAACGGUUGGACGAGGUAUAAACUGUUUCAUAUAUAUUUAUAUUAGAAUUUUAUAUUUUAGUUAAANAGCUAAAAUGUUAUUAAAAGACGAGAAGACCCUAUAAAUCUUUAUAUUUUAUAUUAUUUAAAUUUUUUGGAUUUGGUUUAUUUUUAUUAUAUAAAAUAUUUUGUUGGGGUGAUGUUAAAAUUUAAUGAACUUUUAAUUAUUUAAAAUCAUUAAUUUAUGUAUUAUUGAUCUAUUAUUAGUGAUUAUCAGAUUAAGUUACUUUAGGGAUAACAGCGUAAUUUUUUUGGAGAGUUCAUAUCGAUAAAAAAGUUUGCGACCUCGAUGUUGGAUUAAGAUAUANUUUUAGGUGUAGCAGCUUAAAUGAUAAGUCUGUUCGACUUUUAAAUUCUU
rnacentral:rRNA from 1 species